CUCAGCCGCCAUCGAGUACUGACACGAGUGCGCUAGUGCUGCGCUCUAGCGGAUCGCGUCGUCGAUCGGAACCAACGGACGCAACCAAUCAAACCUUCCUUCGAAUUUUCUCUUGUUCGUUCCAACCUCCGCGAUCAUCGCAUUCUUAACAUCGAAUUAUUUUAAUAUUGUGAAUUGAUUCAGUCAAAAGGACUUUUCUUUUUCCUCUUUUCUUCUUUUUCUUUCCUCUUUUCCGUUAAUUUAUUCAUUUCUAUUCAUUUCUAUUAAUGUAUAAUAAUCUUGUCAGAAAUUCAAAAUUUCUUUUUUUCGAUGACCGAUUCAAAUUAUUUAGAAAUCAUUUAUGAACCUGUCAUAUCAGUUUUACCUAAUAUCGUUUUAUUUAUAGUUUCGAAUAAUUUAUAUAUAAUCGCAUUGUUUCUUAGAAUGCUAUUUAAUACGAUAUUGAUGAAUCCUCGUGAUUGUUCAAAUACAACCAAUCAAAUCUUGGAUACGUCGGAAGACAUCGAUAAUUGCGAAGAAUAAUAUGCCAGAAGAGUUAAACAUAUUUGCAUCUGUGGAUUUUCGUAUAACAAACCAAUAACUGUUCAGGCUGGAACGAUUAUCGUACAUUGACAUAUUUUAAUGUCAGAGACUUAGUGACUGAGUUUCAAUAACGUUGGAAUAUUUGGAAGAAAAGAUUUGAUGAGAUUCGUUGCAGAACUACCAGGGAAGGAAGAAGAAUUAGUACAUGUAGUUGAAUAUUAUAUGCAACAUUUUAUAACAAUAAAUAAUUCUAAUGUACUUUAUAAUUUCAACUGCGACUAUAAAAUACAAUAAAGCAAUGGAUACUAAGCUUGACGUGCUCUGUGGACAUCUAAGAGUUAAGGAGUGUCAAAUUUGAUAAUAAUGAUUUUAUUAAGACUUAUUCUACUCAAGCGGGUAUUCAAAAUUUUAUUAUAAAAGUACAAAAAAUCUAGCGCAAUAGAGUCUAAGUUGGAUAAAAUCCUAAAAAGUAAAAUAUAAGAUGAGAUAUAAAUUCAUUUAUAUAUGGCGAAAGAGAUAUUAUAGCCGUAUAUAUAUAUAUAUUUGUAGUCAUAUAUAAACAAGAGAAUGACCAAUAUGUAUGAAGAAAGGAAAUGAUGUAUCAAUGAUUUUGAUAUUAAAACAAACAGGUUUAAUAGAAAUAUAUUGACAUAAUAGCGGUUACAUGGCAAAAGCAUAAAAUUCUAAGAAAAUGGUCAGUAAUUUUAUAACUUAUAUAAAUAAGUUUUAUUAAGUAUCAAAAAAUAUAUGAAAGAUUAUAUUGUAUAUCAAUAAUUUUAUAACGCAAAACAACAUUUUUUAUAAACAUCGUUUUAACCUUUUUCCGGAUAAAUUUUCUAUAUAUUUCUUUACAUGUAAUAGAUACAAAGUAAAUAUUAUAAAUGUAGUCAAAGAAAUAUCAUACGGUAUUAAAUUAUUUGUAACAUUGUUAACUUCAGAGAGAAAUAUUUUAUUGUAUGUAUAUAUUUAAACAAAUUUUCUAUUUUUAUUUAGUUAAUUUAACAAAGAAAGAUUCCAUAGAAAUAAAAAUAUAAAUAUAUAAAUCAAUAAAUUAUUAUUAUUAUUA